rnacentral:rRNA from 1 species
GGUCAAGUUAAAAAGAGCACUAGGUGAAUGCCUAGGCACCAAGAGGCGAAGAAGGACGUGACAAGCUGCGAAAAGCUACGGAGAGGAGCAAAUAUCCAUUGACCCGUAGAUAUCCGAAUGGGGAAACCCACCGUAAGGUAUCCUAUAGCCAAUUCAUAACUAUAGGAAGCGAACCAGGUGAACUGAAACAUCUAAGUAACCUGAGGAAAAGAAAGAAAACUCAAUUCCCUGAGUAGCGGCGAGCGAACGGGGAAGAGCCCAAAGUGUAAAAAGAGACAAUAGCCAGCCAAAUAAUCUGGGAAGAUUAACCAAAGAAGGUAAGAGUCCUGUAGGCGAAAGCGAAGAUAUCCGACACAAAAGAGUACCACGGAACACGAGAAAUUCAGUGGGAACAUGGGGGGACCACCCCCUAAGGCUAAAUACUACUUGGUGACCGAUAGCGAACAAGUACCGUGAGGGAAAGGUGAAAAGAACCCCGAGAGGGGAGUGAAAUAGAAUCUGAAACCUAGUGUUUACAAGCAGCGAAAGUGGCAUACGCCACGAUCGUGUACUUUUUGUAGAACGGGCCAGCGAGUUACGAUUACUAGCAAGGUUAAGCAUUACAGAUGCGGAGCCGAAGCGAAAGCGAGUCUAAAUAGGGCGAAAGUUAGUGGUUGUAGACCCGAAACCGUGUGAUCUAUCCAUGAGCAGAGUGAAGUUGAAGUAAAAUUCAAUGGAGGCUCGAACCGGGUAACGUUUAAAAGUUAUCGGAUGACUUGUGGAUAGGGGUGAAAAGCCAAACGAACACGGAGAUAGCUGGUUCUCCUCGAAAUAGCUUUAGGGCUAGCCUCUAGUAAGACAUGAAAAGGGGGUAGAGCACUGAUUGGUUGCGGGGCAUGCAUAUGUUACCAAAACCUAUCAAACUCCGAAUACCAUAUCAUGCGCUAGGGAGUCAGACUAUGUGGGAUGAGCUUCAUAGUCGAAAGGGAAAGAGCCCAGACCAUCAGCUAAGGUCCCAAAAUUAUAGUUAAGUGGGAAAGGAUGUGGAGUUACUGAGACAACUAGGAUGUUGGCUUAGAAGCAGCCACUCAUUUAAAGAGUGCGUAAUAGCUCACUAGUCAAGUGACUCUGCGCCGAAGAUAACCGGGGCUAAACUAUAUACCGAAGCUAUGGAACGUUAAACGUUGGUAGAGGAGCAAUGUAUGAAGGACGAAGCAUAAGCCGUAAGGCAGUGUGGACAUCAUACAAGAGAGAAUGCUGGCAUGAGUAGCGAGAGGUGAGUGAGAAUCUCACCCGUCGAAAACCCAAGGAUUCCUGAGCAAGGCUCGUCCACUCAGGGUAAGUCGGGACCUAAGGCGAGGCUGAAAAGCGUAGUCGAUGGACAACAGGUUGAAAUUCCUGUACCGAUACAAUCGUUAAAGGAAGUGGGGACGCAGGAGGAUAAUAAGAGCGCCCAGUUGGUGAGGCGUGCAAGCGCAAAGUCUGGAGAGUAGGCAAAUCCGCUCUCCGAAAAGGAUGAAGCGUAAUGCGGAUCGAAAACAAGUAGAGAAGCUUAUGACUCCACACUGCCAAGAAAAGCCACUACAAGAGAAGUAUCGCCCGUACCGUAAACCGACACAGGUAGGUGAGGAGAGAAUCCUAAGACGAGCGGAAAAACCUUUGUUAAGGAACUCGGCAAAAUGACCCCGUAACUUCGGGAGAAGGGGAGCCCCUGUAACAGGGGGCCGCAGUGAAAAGGCCCAAGCGACUGUUUACCAAAAACACAAGUUUCUGCUAAGUCGAAAGACGAAGUAUAGGAGCUGACACCUGCCCGGUGCUGGAAGGUUAAGGGAAAAAGUUAGCGCAAGCGAAGCUUAGAACUGAAGCCCCAGUAAACGGCGGCCGUAACUAUAACGGUCCUAAGGUAGCGAAAUUCCUUGUCGGGUAAGUUCCGACCCGCACGAAAGGUGUAACGAUUUGGG